rnacentral:tRNA from 1 species
GGCGAGAUAGCCGAGUGGGUUUUGGCGCGGCCUUGUUAAUCAGAAUUUAACUCUCGCCG